GAUGGAUGAUGGAUGAUCAAUGAUGGAUGAUGGAUGAUCAAUGAUGGAAUAUGGAUGGAUGGAUGGAUGAUCAAUGAUGGAUGAUGGAUGGAUGGAUCUCUCAGAGGAUAAAUUGGACGUCACUGUUAUCCUGAAUCUGAGUGGAUCAAUCCUCUCAGAUGUUCUGAUCUUCAGUCCAGAUAUCAGGACUCUGAGGACUGGGUGGAUGUUUUUGUUGUACACAGUAAAACUGUAUUUAACCUUCAGUUGACUUUAGUAAUUUCUACAUCUUUGUCCUUCUGUGUUUCUCUGUUUGAACCGUUCCUCAUUUGAUCCCAUGAAUGAGGAUGAAGAAGAAGAACCGGGUCUCUGGAGUUCUGUGACAGCAGCUUGUUGCACAGCAUCACCUGUCACACGAGUCCGUCUGUAAUCAGUCAGAAGUUUGACUUCUGUUGGUUUGUACUCACGUUCUUGUAAAAACAUCGUUUUCCUCACUUUACCACACUCAGCUGACUUUCAGAACCAAAGUAGGUCCGACCAGAACAUCUGCUCCACAGCUCAGAAAAGCCAAAUCAGGAAUUCUUCAUAUCAAGUUUGUUGAAAGUUUUUCUUGAGGUUCUGCUCACAAAGUUCCCCUGAAAAACAGAAGCAGACCUGGAGAUCCUGCAGGAGCGCCGCUUGAAGCUCCAAAGCAGAUGUGUCUUCAGAUGGGAGGAGCUUCUCCGCUGUGACCUUGACAGGAUCUCGGAUCAGAUUUUACAAGACUGGAUUCUUCCUCUGCCUUUCCAAAGCUCCUUCAUGCUGCGUUUAGGGGCGUAUGUGACCCGUCCUCGCUCCUGUUCUCCAUUCAUAGUGACCCCCCCCCCCAAUGUUUGAUUGACAUCCAGGUUUGUUUCCUCAGGUAAUCCAGUACAUUCAUGUGACAGCUCACCUGGACUCUGGUUCGGAUCAGAAGAGCUGGUCUUUGAUUCUCGUCGGUUCUCCUCAGGAUGAUCGAUUAAAGGGAAUAAAUGACUUAAGCCCCGCCUUUUUAUGUAGCAAAAAAUAAACCACAGCAAAGUUUGAAAAUGUUUACCAGGAUAAACCUGGAUUAACAGAGUUUAGCAAAAAACAAAAAAAAAAAACAAUUUUUCUUGUUUAUUCUGUUUUUUCUACAUCUCGGUGCAGCAACAGCGACCCCAAGUGGGAAGCAUUGGAACUGCAGGACUUUUCUGAGCAGUUCGAACCGCUUCAGUCUGUGUCGCAUGUGAAAGCAAACAAACCUGAUGAAGGUGUGACCUCGAGGAAUGUUCUCCAGACACUUGAACUGAUCCCAUGAGACCAUCCUGGUGUGGAAACAAUCAGAGCUGCAGAACUUCUGGUCUCAUCCAACCAAAUCUGGAUUGAGAUUAGAAUUCUUCCUCACAGAGUUUGGCUCAACUUUUAACCCUGUACAACCAUUUGUAUCAUAUUACACGAGACCCCUGUCUCAUCAGCAUUAUCAAAACUUUAUUAAAAACCCAUUUAGAUGACUUGGUCCAGGGUCUCUGCCGUGCAGUUCAUCGUCACUCCACUAGGGGCAGUCGAAGUGCUCGUUUCAAAAUGGCUGCCCCCAUGACAUCUAAAAAACACUUUUGGCGGGAAAAUGUUUGCUAAUUUUCAACAAUUUAGGCUGAGAUUAGCUCAUCUAUUGUUGAUCAGUUUUCUAAAUGACAACUUGCUGUAUUGAAAAAAUGCAAAACGUGUUAAUAAUUACUCAUAAGAUGGUUCCACAAUGUUAACAAUGUGUGGAUCAAAGUGAGACGACAGCUAAAUAAGGUCGUUUUUUUCCUGAGCAAUAUUUUUUUGCCAAGUCACACAUUGUAUCAUGAUUUAUAUUUAAAUAUCAUUAAAAAACUUGAAUUUUCUGUCAAGUCAUUGAUUGGUGGGCUUUACAGGUUAGAGUUCACGGAUCAAAUGUUGGACAGAAAAGUUUUCUCUUUUCCAACUAUUAGCAGUGAUUUUACAAAAACACAAGUUCAUAAAAAAGUGAAAAACUCUGAGACUGAAAUAUCUCUGUACCUUUAGCCCCGCCCCCAAAGUUUAGUCCUAGAGACUCUUUUCUUCAGUACAUACAGUUUAUUUUCAGACUCAGUUUGAGCUACUGAACUUUCAAAUGGGUUUCCUCGUCAUUUGGACUCAGAGGUCAAAAGCAAAUCUGCUCUACAAACUACAGCUGCUGGUUCUUCAUCAGAUCAGCAGCUUCCUGACACACUUUUUGCCGCCAUUUUUCAACUUUCUUUGGGAAAUCCGGUCAACACAAUGAGUGUUUCCUGUAGAAUCUCACCCGUCCACACACAAACACACAUUUGCUUUGUCCGACUUCACACUUUUCCUAUAAGCAAACUCAGCAGCAAAAAGAAAGUUUAAAAAUGCGACCGUCCCCGCAGCGCGGCUCCAUCUGUAAGGACUAGUUCCCACAAUACCUGUAUAUGAAAACGUGCACACACACACACACACACACUGAUCCUGACCUUAUGUUCUCUCUGAUCCAGCCUCUAACUCCUGGAUUUAUGACUAAAUGGACCUUCAGACCUGGAUCUGUCUCACACUGAUGCCAUUAGCUCACAGCAGCAGCGUAAUAGCUCCCUCUACUGUUCACUUUGUCACAUUGCAGAAGCUUUGAAUUCCCAAACUUAUUCCUGUAAAUCUCACGACACCUUUCACUGCAUUUAAUGAUUAUGUUGAUUUAAAAAAAAAGAAGAAAAAAA